CGCAGCCGCGGUAAUUCCAGCUCCAAUAGCGUAUAUUAAAGUUGUUGCAGUUAAAAAGCUCGUAGUUGAAUUUCGGGAUUGGCGUAUCGGUCGUGCCUCACGGGGUAUGAACUGGUGCAGUCAAUUUCUCACCUUCUGGAGAACCGCGAUGUCCUUAAUUGGAUGCCGCGGGGAACCAGGACCUUUACUUUGAAAAAUUAGAGUGUUUAAAGCAGGCAUUUUUGCUUGAAUACAUUAGCAUGGAAUAAUAAAAUAGGACGGAUGAUUCUAUUUUGUUGGUUUCUAGGACCACCGUAAUGAUUAAUAGGGAUAGUUGGGGGCAUUAGUAUUCAAUUGUCAGAGGUGAAAUUCUUGGAUUUAUUGAAGACUAACUACUGCGAAAGCAUUUGCCAAGGAUGUUUUCAUUAAUCAAGAACGAAAGUUAGGGGAUCGAAGACGAUCAGAUACCGUCGUAGUCCUUAACCAUAAACUAUGCCGACUAGGAAUCAGACGAUGUUAAUUUUUUAAUGUACUCG
rnacentral:rRNA from 1 species